rnacentral:sRNA from 1 species
UUGGCGCACCCUCACCAUGGCCCUGGGUGUGGGAUCAUGGAUCCCAGGGUUCCAAGAGGAAUCAGUGAUGACCCAGUCUGCCCCCCAGUGCUAGUUACUAGGCCUGCACCUGAAAACUAAGCCCCUUUGGCCUGAAGGGUGGGGAAGUGACCUGGGCAGGCCCAGCGGGGCCUGGGCCCUGACAUGCCCAUCUCUGCUGUAUCUUUUCAGGAAAUCAGUACGCUGAGGGGCCAAGUGGGAGGCCAGGUCAGUGUGGAGGUGGAUUCGGCUCCGGGCACCGAUCUCGCCAAGAUCCUGAGUGACAUGCGAAGCCAAUAUGAGGUCAUGGCCGAGCAGAACCGGAAGGAUGCUGAAGCCUGGUUCACCAGCCGGACUGAAGAAUUGAACCGGGAGGUCGCUGGCCACACGGAGCAGCUCCAGAUGAGCAGGUCCGAGGUUACUGACCUGCGGCGCACCCUUCAGGGACUUGAGAUUGAGCUGCAGUCACAGCUGAGCAUGGUAUGUGUCCCCCCUCCCCUGCUUCCCUGGGCAAUGCACACUUAUGCCCUUGCAGCCUAGGGCAGCCUGGCUGGUGGCUGUGCCCAUGCCUUCUCCGGGAACCAGGCUCUGCUGAGUCACACCCCCCUUUCCCUAUCUUCAGAAAGCUGCCU